AGGUUGCUCAUUCACCAAAUGCGGUAGCAGCUUCCUGGCGCUGUGGCAGAACACCGACGACAAACAACGUGAAGACCAAAAGGCUACUUUGGCUCCGUACUUCAGAGGGUUCAGCUCCACUGCUUUUAGGCUCUGGUGAGGCGGUCUGUCACGACAGAAGAGCUUGGUGUCUCACUCCUGCAAGCUUGUCACCAUGGAAAUGAGUCUAUGCCGCUGAAGAUGAGCAAGAGUCCACUUACAGUAUGAGCAUUUCUCUCAGCUCUGGAGUGCGGAGAUGGGGUGCACAGCUGCUUCAAGUACCCCAGGAUGAGGACUCUGGGACAGCAUUGUCUCUGUGGAUUCCUUCUUUUUUUAAAAAAAAACUUUAUCAGCAUAUAUUAAUCAUGUAUACUAAUGGGUUUCAUGAUGGCAUUUUAUACACGUACAUAAUGGAUUCUGAACCUGUGUUCUCUCUCUUGUUCCCAUCCCUCCCUGUUGAUCUCCUGCCUUUUCCUAACCGUGCCCCUUUCUACUUUCAUGUAUUUCUGACCCAAUUAAUUUGAUUAAUGUUGUUUACAAGAACAUGGGUGAGGAGUUAUUUUCUGAAGGCAUGGACAUAUUAUCAAUGGUUAACCCACUGGAGAAAAUUUCUCCCCUCCGCCAGCAUUCAUUACUUCUCCGUAGGUACUUAGGGAGGAGUAGUUGCGAGUUCUGCCCACUUAACCAUUGGUAACUGUUCAUACAUCUAUAGGGAAAGCUGGAGAAUUGUGAUCCCCUUCUACCCCACCCCCAUGGAGUAUUGAUGGGAGUGUGUAAUGCUUUGAGUAAGAAUGGCCUUCAUAGGUUCAUGUGUUUGAAUAUUCGCUCCUCUGUUGGUGGUACUGUUUGGUAAGGAUUAGGAGGUGUGGCUUUGUUGGAGGAGGUAUGUCAUUAGUGAGAAUAUUGAGGUCUCAAAAGACACACCAUUCUCAAUUUCUCUCUACCUUACGGUUGUGUUUGAAAAUGUAAGCUCUCAGCUACUGCUCCAGCACCAUGCCUCCCCACCUGCUACCAUGCCCCCACCAUGGUGGUCAUGUACUUCAACUCUCUGAGACUAUGCCCCAAAUAAACUUUCCUCUGUAAA